CUCCUCGGGCCCCGCCAGGGCUUCGGUACAACGCGGGGCCGUGUCCUCGCUGACAGGAGUCCAGGCUCCUCAGGACCUGUCCAGAGGUGCCGACGCGGGAGGAAAUUGUGAGGAGAAAGUGGGGAGACUUACUGGGCUUGCGCACACGCGUUUCCCGCGGGCUCGACUCUGCGCCCAGCUGAGAGCAGUUUGGUCUCCUCAGGCACCGCCGGGGCUUCGGCUGGGACGCCCGGGUCAGCGUCUCUGCUGACAGAACUCAGUCUCCUUAGGACUCGCCGGCGUUUCAGCUUUAGGACAACACGGGGCUGCGUCCACGCUGACGGGAGCUGGGUUUCCUGACGACCCAGGCGACGCCGGGAGGAAAAGGAUCUUAGUUCUCCAACCAGGGAUGGAACCUGUGCCCCCUGCAGUGGAAGCGCCAAGUUUUAACCACUGGACCUCCAGGGAAGUCCCGGAUUUGAAGAUACCAAGCCACCAAGACUUCCAAAUUACAUACCCUAACAAGUACCAGACUGAGUACAAGCUCAGGUCAUCCUGGUGAAAAUUCGAACUCUGCUGUUUCCUAAGUGUGAGAUCUG